rnacentral:misc_RNA from 1 species
UCAACCCUUGGAUUUGGUGUGAUGCUAAAGUAGUAUAUAUUUGCAAGGGUCCUUUGGAUGUUGCACUACUGCAGCUUGAAUAUGUUCCAGACCAGCUUUCCCCUAUCAAGGUGGAUUUCGCUUGCCCAAUUUUGGGAUCAAAGGCUUAUGUUAUUGGACAUGGACUCUUUGGACCAAGAUGUGGCUUUUCCCCUUCUGUUUGCUCUGGGGUGGUAGCAAAAAUAGUUAAAGCCGAAGCUCCUCCAUAUUAUCGAUACAAAGGGGAUUCACAUAUUCCUGCAAUGCUUGAAACAACAGCUGCUGU